GAUGAACGCUGGCGGCGUGCCUAAUACAUGCAAGUCGAGCGAACGGACGAGAAGCUUGCUUCUCUGAUGUUAGCGGCGGACGGGUGAGUAACACGUGGAUAACCUACCUAUAAGACUGGGAUAACUUCGGGAAACCGGAGCUAAUACCGGAUAAUAUUUUGAACCGCAUGGUUCAAAAGUGAAAGACGGUCUUGCUGUCACUUAUAGAUGGAUCCGCGCUGCAUUAGCUAGUUGGUAAGGUAACGGCUUACCAAGGCAACGAUGCAUAGCCGACCUGAGAGGGUGAUCGGCCACACUGGAACUGAGACACGGUCCAGACUCCUACGGGAGGCAGCAGUAGGGAAUCUUCCGCAAUGGGCGAAAGCCUGACGGAGCAACGCCGCGUGAGUGAUGAAGGUCUUCGGAUCGUAAAACUCUGUUAUUAGGGAAGAACAUAUGUGUAAGUAACUGUGCACAUCUUGACGGUACCUAAUCAGAAAGCCACGGCUAACUACGUGCCAGCAGCCGCGGUAAUACGUAGGUGGCAAGCGUUAUCCGGAAUUAUUGGGUGUAAAGCGCGCGUAGGCGGUUUUUUAAGUCUGAUGUGAAAGCCCACGGCUCAACCGUGGAGGGUCAUUGGAAACUGGAAAACUUGAGUGCAGAAGAGGAAAGUGGAAUUCCAUGUGUAGCGGUGAAAUGCGCAGAGAUAUGGAGGAACACCAGUGGCGAAGGCGACUUUCUGGUCUGUAACUGACGCUGAUGUGCGAAAGCGUGGGGAUCAAACAGGAUUAGAUACCCUGGUAGUCCACGCCGUAAACGAUGAGUGCUAAGUGUUAGGGGGUUUCCGCCCCUUAGUGCUGCAGCUAACGCAUUAAGCACUCCGCCUGGGGAGUACGACCGCAAGGUUGAAACUCAAAGGAAUUGACGGGGACCCGCACAAGCGGUGGAGCAUGUGGUUUAAUUCGAAGCAACGCGAAGAACCUUACCAAAUCUUGACAUCCUUUGACAACUCUAGAGAUAGAGCUUUCCCCUUCGGGGGACAAAGUGACAGGUGGUGCAUGGUUGUCGUCAGCUCGUGUCGUGAGAUGUUGGGUUAAGUCCCGCAACGAGCGCAACCCUUAAGCUUAGUUGCCAUCAUUAAGUUGGGCACUCUAAGUUGACUGCCGGUGACAAACCGGAGGAAGGUGGGGAUGACGUCAAAUCAUCAUGCCCCUUAUGAUUUGGGCUACACACGUGCUACAAUGGACAAUACAAAGGGCAGCGAAACCGUGAGGUCAAGCAAAUCCCAUAAAGUUGUUCUCAGUUCGGAUUGUAGUCUGCAACUCGACUACAUGAAGCUGGAAUCGCUAGUAAUCGUAGAUCAGCAUGCUACGGUGAAUACGUUCCCGGGUCU
rnacentral:rRNA from 1 species